GAUGAUGAUUAUGAAUGUUGUGAUGAUGAUUAUGUGAUGUUAUCUAUGAGUUGUUAAAUGUACUUGAUGAUGGUUGUGUUAAGUUGAUAAGUUGUCUUUUAGUCAUGAAUUGCUAAUGGAAGGUUUGAUGAAUAAUUAUUAUUAUGAAAUGAUGAUGUUAUGUAUAGUUGUUAAGUUGUACUCUAUUCAUGAGUUGUUAAUGAGGUGUUUGGUGGAGAAUGUUAAUACGAAUUAAUGAUGUUGUUAUGUUGAAUAUGAACUAUGAAUAUGAUGUUGGUACGUUGUUUAUGUCAUUGAUUAUGAAGUUGUUAUGUUGUAUAUGAACUAUGAAUAUGAUGUUGUUACGUUGUUUAUGUUAUUGAUUAUGAAGUUGUCAUGUUGUAUACGAAUUAUGAGUAUGAUGUUAUAUGAUUAU
rnacentral:lncRNA from 1 species